rnacentral:rRNA from 1 species
UAGGGAAUAUUGGACAAUGGGGGGAACCCUGAUCCAGCCAUGCCGCGUGGAGGAAGACUGCCCUCUGGGUUGUAAACUCCUUUUAUAUGGGAAGAACCGUCCCCAUUGAUGAGUGACCUGACGGUACCAUAGGAAUAAGCACCGGCUAACUCCGUGCCAGCAGCCGCGGUAAUACGGAGGGUGCAAGCGUUAUCCGGAUUCACUGGGUUUAAAGGGUGCGUAGGCGGAUAUGUAAGUCAGUGGUGAAAUCAACGGGCUCAACCUGUUAACUGCCAUUGAUACUGUGUAUCUUGAAUAUGAGAGAGGUAGGCGGAAUGUUGCAUGUAGCGGUGAAAUGCUUAGAUAUGCUACGGAACACCGAUUGCGAAGGCAGCUUACUAUUUCGUAAUUGACGCUGAGGCACGAAAGCGUGGGUAGCGAACA